rnacentral:rRNA from 1 species
GAUGAACGCUGGCGGCGUGCCUAAUACAUGCAAGUCGAGCGAACAGACGAGGAGCUUGCUCCUCUGACGUUAGCGGCGGACGGGUGAGUAACACGUGGAUAACCUACCUAUAAGACUGGGAUAACUUCGGGAAACCGGAGCUAAUACCGGAUAAUAUAUUGAACCGCAUGGUUCAAAAGUGAAAGACGGUUUUGCUGUCACUUAUAGAUGGAUCCGCGCCGCAUUAGCUAGUUGGUAAGGUAACGGCUUACCAAGGCAACGAUGCGUAGCCGACCUGAGAGGGUGAUCGGCCACACUGGAACUGAGACACGGUCCAGACUCCUACGGGAGGCAGCAGUAGGGAAUCUUCCGCAAUGGGCGAAAGCCUGACGGAGCAACGCCGCGUGAGUGAUGAAGGUCUUCGGAUCGUAAAACUCUGUUAUUAGGGAAGAACAAAUGUGUAAGUAACUAUGCACGUCUUGACGGUACCUAAUCAGAAAGCCACGGCUAAUUACGUG